CAUAUUCCCCCGGCAGCUCCAUCCAUCAUCCCUUGCCCGCAUGCCCCAGUCCCCAGGCACACAGAGAGUUUCCAUGGCUCAUUCAGUGCCCCAACAGGGCUCUCUACAUAGCUGGGGGGAUGGCAGAAGGGGGGUGGAAUGAGAAAAUUACUGAAUGGGACCACUGGAAGGCACCACUCAAAGUGGUAUUUUGGAGGAGGCUGGGGUCUGGGCUUUCGGUGAGUCACAGGUGGCCUUGGACUCAGGCCAAGGUCCCCCCUCACUGGCUGCAUCUCUAGUGGGCAGUGUCCUCAGUGGGUGGGGACAUGUCAGCUUACCCACCCCCCAUGGAGCUGGAGGAGGCUGUUUAAUAUUGUGUCAAGUCUGUGGCCACUAAACUGGACGAUCAAUGGGAGUUAAGGAGAUGAAUUAUUUAAACCUCACCAGCUUUUAAUUAGUCGGGAUCCUUCUGACCGAUGACUCCGUCCACAGGGUAUUGACUCCCCCGCAGGAGCAGCAGCCUCCAUUGAGCGGUGCCUGGGUUGAGGGGGGCCACUCGGGGUACCAAAUGGGGGUAUACCCUCAAGGGGAUUCUUGUUUGGAAGGAAACUGGAGUGGCUAUGAUUCCAGGCAGUUGGAGGCUCUGUUAGUUUCUGAUCUAUCAGUAUGAAUAUGUUAUCUGUCUAUCUGUGUGUCUGCAUAUGUGUGACACCUUUAGCUGUAUGUCUGUGUGUCAGACUGAGAGUAUAAUGUGUCCAUGAUUAUACAUGUCUGUUGGGGAGCGUGUAACAGUAUAUCUGUAUUUUUCUGAGGGCAUGAGUCUGUGUGGAAGCAGCUACCAGUCUGUGUGUGUAUCUGUCAGGUGUGUCUGUUCAGUUCUGUAUAUCUUACUUUGUUUGCAUAUGCACAUGUGUGCAUGCAGAUGCUCUCAGGUAGGGCACCUGACCAAGCAUAGGCCUUGUUCCAAGUGGGGAAGAGCCAGAGUGUCUCUGGGCAGUGCGCUGACAUUACCACAGCCUGUGAGCCUUUGGGGUCGCAUCAUUGUGGGGGGGACUGGAGAGAGAAUACCAGUCACCUCCUUCAUAGUAGACCCCUUAUCCAUUCCAGACAUUCACUGGUGCCUUGUGGGUGCUGGGCGUGCUGAGUAGAAGUUUCUGUUCUCAGUGAGCUCGCAUCCUGGGAAGAGACAGGAAAUAGGUGCUUGCCACCCAGGGUACUUAGGGCUGUGAUAGAAAACACCUGGGUUGCCCCAAAGGUGGUUUUCCCUCUCCUCAGUUGCCAAGUAGCUUCUACUUUUUCAGUUACCUCUCACUAAGAGGUAGUGAUAUGGGGGCAUCUCACCCCAGGAGGGAUGCCCUCAUAUUCUUAUUGGGACAUUUCAAGGGUUUCCCAGGGCCCAGGCUAAGAGGAAGUGACCAACAGGCCUGGGGAACUGGGGGUACUCCACUAUAACUGCUGUUCCCUCUCAUAGAUGUUUUCCAAACAAUCUAGAGAAGAUGCCAAACCCAGCAGGGUAAUAUGCUUGGGAGGUCAGCAGGAAGUUUCCUAGAGAAGAGGACACUUGAAUUGGGAUCUCUGAAAGAUGAAUAGGAGUUUGCUGGGCAGAAAAAUGGGGGAAGGGUAUUUUAGGUAGGAGGACUCUGUAGAAAGGCCUGUGGGCAUGAGAAACCCAGUGUGUUGAGGACAAGUUCAGACACCUACAAGAAGCUUCCCAUGACUGGAGUGGCAAAUUUGGGUUAGGAAACAGCUAGAAAAUAAACAGAGACAUAAGCAAGGCCUUGAAUGCCUGGUUAAAGGGUGUGGACUUUUCCUGCCAUUUUGAGGAGACACAGGAGGUUCGUGAGUGAGAGAAUGACGUGAUCAAAGCUCUGACUCAGAAUCAAUGAGGCAGUUUGUGUUGCACAAAGCUAGUUCUUAGUAGAUGCUCAAUAAAUGCAUAUGGGUGGUUGAAUGAAUGAGUAGGUGAGUAAAUGAAUCAAUGAAAGAGUGAUGGGAAAGGGAGGAACCAAAGAGGACCAGUGAGAAGACUGGCAUUGGUCCAGGGAAGGAAGAACUGGCUGGGGGCUAGGGAUAGCCUGGGUUAAUGCACCCCACAUAUACUUUAUCUGGGUGCCUGUUCUAUCAUCUGUCCCAGGGUGUGUGUGUGAGAAGGGGUUCCUUGUUCCCACUCUUUGUGCUUCUUGAGACUCAGCAAUGCCCCUGUUGUCUGUUCACCUGUUGACCCUAGGUUAGGAACUCUGAGGUAUCCCCUCCUUUUUCAGAAAAGAAGGUUUCUUUAUCUGGCUGGGCCCCAUGGGGCAGCCCAAGGCUCUGAGUGACAAUGGAGUAAGGGCUUUGGAGCCAGAAGUAGUUCUGGUUCUUCCACCCAGAACCCUGUGACCUUAGAUGAAGGACAAUGCCACCUGCCUCUCUGGGUUGCUGGGAAGGCUUGGUGAGUCCCCUGGGGAAAGUAUUCAUGCAGUGCUGGGCACACCAUGGGGCUGAAGGGGCUCCCUCCUCCGUUGCCAGCACCAGGGGCUCCCCAGGACACUGGGCUUCUUGACACUUGGUCUUUGUAGUCUUUGAAUGAAGAGGGCUGCCCUGCCACCUCCAGGCUGGCUCUGAGGUAUGAGUGAGGGUGCUUGGAAGGGAGGGAGGAUGCAGGGCAUUAAUUGGGCUAGGAGAGGCGGGGAAGGGGAGGCGUGGGUUUUGAGCAGUGAGGUUAAUGGCCCUCGCACCAAAGAGACAGCUUUAAUGAGCUUCAGCUGGCGAUGCCCCGAGUUACUGUGCGUGCUAAAAGGGUCGCGCUGUAAGAGUUUGAUGUGGACUGCUUCCCAGCCCUGGGGGUCAGAGGUCAGCUCCUGUCACUGGCCACUCAGUCUGGUCCUUAGUGACAUGGUGCUAAUUAACUGUGUGAGGAGCUGCCAGCCUGGAGUGGGGAGUGGUAUGUGUAUUGGCGGAGUGGGGGGGGGGGGGUGAGGAAGCAUUGGGUGGCUUCCAGGCAAGGGUGCUGCAGAUCCCAUAGCUGAGCCAUGUCCAAGGUCUGCUCAGUCCUCCUGCAGUGCCACAGGGGUGUGGCAUGCGUGGUGUGGAGGUGCUGAGAGAGCACAGAGGCAGACUUGGGGUGAUGGGUGUGGGGAAGGGGCUCAGGCCAUAGGGGAGGGGGCUACUAGGAUGGUUGUGUGUGGGAAAGCUGUAGGAGUGUUUUGGGCAGGGGAGUUACAUGGUCAGUGUUGGCUUCAGUCAGAGGAUGCUCAUAGUUUGUAGGGGAAGGGCUAGUGAGGAGAGACUGCAGACAAGGAGGCUGAAGGGGAGGGGCAGCAAGGUAAGCAAGAGUGCAUCGGCCCUGGAAAUAGAGGUAGGACACCAGGUAAACUUUCUUUCAUUCCGUACACACUACCUUGGACCUACCAUAUAUCAGGAACCAUGGUAGGUGCUAGAAAUGUAUUGGUAACAAUGGCAGACACAGUGCUCUGCCCCCACAGAGCUCACAAAUGGAGUUGUGGGCUUGGCCCUGGGGACUGAGGGUGAAGUCAGGUUUAGGGAUGGCCAAGGAGGGUCCGGAGGUGGUGCAGCACUGGACAGAAAGGCUGCUGGAGGCUUGUCAGUGUGACAUCAUAGUCAGGGGAGGGCACUUCCUCCUGGGGUAGCGGAUUUGGCCUUGGGAGCCUGGUGAACAGCAUGGUGCCAGAGCAGGUUGUGUCUUAUGAAGGCAGGCAUCAUCAUUCCCAUUUUAUAGAUGAAGAAACUGAGGCUCACUGAAGUGAACUGCCUAAGGUCACACAGCCAGUUGGUUGAGGAGCCAGGAUUCAAACCCAAGCCCAUGUGAGUGCAGAGCCUGUGUUGUUAUCACUGCAGAACUAUGAAGCACCCUUUUGGUAUUGGGCUUUGCGCUACCAAUAGAGACGAUGUGGAAGAAAACAAGCUCGCUUCCCUCAUUUCCCUCAGCGUCAAGUGAAACAUGCAGGCCUGAACAGAGCUUCAGCAGCAGCAGCUAAGGAAGAAAGCGAAGGCAGCAUCACCACUCCCUCUCUGCUGCUACAGUCACCCUGAGCCAGGGACCUGCAGCUGUUGGCAUCUGACCUCCUUCUGGCCCUGACGGUUCUUUGUGAUUUCAGUUCUCUACCUCAUGGCCCAGGAAAGUUCUGCUAAUCUUCCAGGGGCCACCCCCUCUGGGAAUCUCGCCUAGCCCUCCCAGUAUGAGUGUUCAAAACACACACUUGGGCCCUAUUAUAAUUUGUCAGAGGUAAUGA